rnacentral:rRNA from 1 species
GUCCACGCCGUAAACGAUGGGUGCUAGGUGUCGCGGGCUUUGACCCCUGCGGUGCCGUAGCUAACGCAUUAAGCACCCCGCCUGGGGAGUACGGCCGCAAGGCUAAAACUCAAAGGAAUUGACGGGGGCCCGCACAAGCGGUGGAGCAUGUGGUUCAAUUCGACGCAACGCGCAGAACCUUACCUGGGCUAGAAAAUGCAGGAACCUGGUUGAAAAAUCGGGGUGCUCUUCGGAGAACCUGUAGUUAGGUGCUGCAUGGCUGUCGU